CCUACGGGUGGCUGCAGUGAGGAAUAUUGGUCAAUGGGCGCGAGCCUGAACCAGCCAAGUCGCGUGAGGGAUGACGGUCCUACGGAUUGUAAACCUCUUUUGCCGGGGAGCAAGCGUGCGUUCGUGAACGCGCGUCGAGAGUACCCGGAGAAAAAGCAUCGGCUAACUCCGGGCCAGCAGCCGCGGUAAUACGGAGGAUGCGAGCGUUAUCCGGAUUUAUUGGGUUUAAAGGGUGCGUAGGCGGGAUGCCAAGUCAGCGGUAAAAAUGCGGUGCUCAACGCCGUCGAGCCGUUGAAACUGGCGUUCUUGAGUGGGCGAGAAGUAGGCGGAAUGCGUGGUGUAGCGGUGAAAUGCAUAGAUAUCACGAAGAACUCCGAUUGCGAAGGCAGCCUACUAAACUGCCACUGACAUUGAUGCUCGAAAGUGUGGGUAUCAAACAGGAUUAGAUACCCCUGUAGUC
rnacentral:rRNA from 1 species